GCGAGUGAAGCGGCAACAGCUCAAAUUUGAAAGCUGGCUUAGGCCCGCAUUGUAAUUUGCAGAGGAUGCUUUUGGCGAGGUGCCUUCCGAGUUCCCUGGAACGGGACGCCAUAGAGGGUGAGAGCCCCGUAUGGAUGGACACCAAACCUGUGUAAAGCUCCUUCAACGAGUCGAGUAGUUUGGGAAUGCUGCUCUAAAUGGGAGGUAAAUCUCUUCUAAAGCUAAAUACCGGCCAGAGACCGAUAGCGCACAAGUAGAGUGAUCGAAAGAUGAAAAGCACCUUGAAAAGGGGGUUAAACAGUACGUGAAAUUGUUGAAAGGGAAGCGCUUGUGACCAGACUUGCGCCGGGCAGCUCAUCAGGGGUUCUCCCCUGUGCACUCUGCCCGGCUCAGGCCAGCAUCGGUUCUCGUGGGAGGAUAAGAACGGUAGGAACGUGGCCCCCCUCCGGGGGGGUGUUAUAGCCUACCGUACGAUACUCCCGUGGGGACCGAGGUUCGCGCUCCGCAAGGAUGCUGGC
rnacentral:rRNA from 1 species